rnacentral:rRNA from 1 species
UGGCGGACGGGUGAGUAACGCGUGGAUAACCUGCCUUUCACAGGGGGAUAACAGCUGGAAACGGUUGCUAAUACCGCAUGAGCCUCUUUUGUCGCAUGACGGGAGAGGGAAAGAGAAAUCGGUGAGAGAUGGAUCCGCGUCCGAUUAGCUAGUUGGAGGGGUAACAGCCCACCAAGGCGACGAUCGGUAGCCGACCUGAGAGGGUGGACGGCCACAUUGGGACUGAGACACGGCCCAAACUCCUACGGAAGGCAGCAG